UACGUAGGGGGCAAGCGUUGUCCGGAAUCAUUGGGCGUAAAGAGCGUGUAGGCGGCCCGGUAAGUCCGCUGUGAAAGUCCAGGGCUCAACCCUGGGAUGCCGGUGGAUACUGUCGGGCUCGAGUCCGGAAGAGGAGUGUGGAAUUCCUGGUGUAGCGGUGAAAUGCGCAGAUAUCAGGAGGAACACCAAUGGCGAAGGCAGCACUCUGGGACGUGACUGACACUGAGGGACGAAAGCUAGGGGAGCGAAUGGG
rnacentral:rRNA from 1 species